AGCGAACGCUGGCGGCAGGCCUAACACAUGCAAGUCGAGCGCCGUAGCAAUACGGAGCGGCAGACGGGAGAGUAACACGUGGGAACGUACCCUUCAGUACGGAACAACCCAGGGAAACUUGGGCUAAUACCGUAUACGUCCGUAAGGAGAAAGAUUUAUCGCUGAAGGAUCGGCCCGCGUCUGAUUAGCUUGUUUGUGAGGUAACGGCUCACCAAGGCGACAGUCAGUAGCUGGUCUGAGAGGAUGAUCAGCCUCACUGGGACUGAGACACGGCCCAGACUCCUACGGGAGGCAGCAGUGGGGAAUAUUGGACAAUGGGCGCAAGCCUGAUCCAGCCAUGCCGCGUGGGUGAUGAAGGCCCUAGGGUUGUAAAGCCCUUUCGGCGGGGAAGAUAAUGACGGUACCCGCAGAAGAAGCCCCGGCUAACUUCGUGCCAGCCGCCGCCGUAAAAC
rnacentral:rRNA from 1 species